UACGUAGAAGACGAGUGUUAUUCAUCUUUAACAGGUUUAAAGGGUACCUAGACGGAAAAUCAAGCCAUAGUAGGGACUAAUUUUCUAGAGUUUUAUAGGUGAAGAUCGAAUUACCUGAGGAGCGAUGGAAUGCAUUGAUACAGGUAAGACGGAUAGCAGCGAAGGCAAUCUUCUAUGUAAUAACUGACGUUGAGGGACGGAAGCCU
rnacentral:rRNA from 1 species